rnacentral:rRNA from 1 species
AGAGUUUGAUCCUGGCUCAGGAUAAACGCUGGCGGCGUGCCUAACACAUGCAAGUCGAACGCCCUACGCAAGUAGGGAGUGGCGGACGGGUGAGUAACACGUGGGCAUCUGCCAUCAGGUGAGGAAUACCGGCGAGAAAUCGCCGACAAAACCGCAUAUGCUCGGCAACGAGCAAAGUCGCAAGACGCCUGAUGAUGAGC